GACAGAGGGGGCAAGCGUUGCUCGGAAUUACUGGGCGGAAAGGGCGCGUAGGCGGGAUGGCAAGUCGGUCGUGAAAUCCUUCGGCUCAACCGAAGAACGUCGAUCGAUACUGCUGUUCUUGAGGGUUGCAGAGGAGACUGGAAUUCCCGGUGUAGCGGUGAAAUGUGUAGAGAUCGGGAGGAACACCGGUGGCGAAGGCGGGUCUCUGGGCAAUUCCUGACGCUGAGGCGCGAAAGCGUGGGGAGCAAACGGG
rnacentral:rRNA from 1 species